UGGGGAAUGAUUGCACAAUGGGCGAAAGCCUGAUGCAGCAACGCCGCGUGAGUGAUGAAGGCCUUCGGGUUGUAAAGCUCUGUCUUUUGGGACGAUAAUGACGGUACCAAAGGAGGAAGCCACGGCUAACUACGUGCCAGCAGCCGCGGUAAUACGUAGGUGGCAAGCGUUGUCCGGAUUUACUGGGCGUAAAGGAUGCGUAGGCGGAUUUUUAAGUGAGAUGUGAAAACCCUAGCUUAACUUGGGACUGCAUUUCAUACUGGAAAUCUAGAGUGCGGGAGAGGAGAAUGGAAUUCCUAGUGUAGCGGUGAAAUGCGUAGAGAUUAGGAAGAACACCAGUGGCGAAGGCGAUUCUCUGGACCGUAACUGACGCUGAGGCAUGAAAGCGUGGGUAGCAAACAGGAUUAGAUACCCUGGUAGUCCACGCCGUAAACGAUGAGUACUAGGUGUAGGAGGUAUCGACCCCUUCUGCGCCGCAGUUAACACAAUAAGUACUCCGCCUGGGAAGUACGAUCGCAAGAUUAAAACUCAAAUGAAUUGACGGGGUCAUAGCUG
rnacentral:rRNA from 1 species